rnacentral:lncRNA from 1 species
AACAAUUGUUGGAAAAAUUACUUGUGUCAUGCACAAAGUAGAUGUCCUAACCGACUUGCCAAAACUAUAGUUCGUUAACAAGAAAUUUGUGGAGUGGUUGAAAAACUAGUUUUAAUGACUCCAACCUAAGUGUAUGUAAACUUCCGACUUCAAUUGUAGCCUAGUGUUUAGAGCGUUGGGCCAAUAACUGAAAGGUUGCCAGAUCGAAUCCCUGAGCUGACAAGCUAAAUAUCUGUCGUUCUGCCCCUGAACAAGGCAGUUAACCCACUGUUCCUAGGCUGUCAUUGUAAAUAAGAAUUUGUUCUUAACUGACUUGCCUAGUUAAAUACGUUUUUUUUUUUUUUAAGUAAAUGUAACCACUCAAAUUCAUAGACAGGGCUAUGGAUGCAAGGACUGACUGUCCAUGAAAUCAAAAUCAUAGUUUUAACCAUGUUUUGGGGCUAUAGUGUUUGUUUACAUUUUAUUGUUUACAGACAGAGGAGUAAAAUAAGCUUAUUUUGGGUUCUGGUGGGGUACGACUGUUGAUCGAAGCUCAUGAGAUUCCAAGAUUCCUUUAAAGAUUUCCAAGAUGGCGUAGCAGUCAGAUGUCUUUGUCUUGUCUCGUCCCGUCCCAUGCAUAUAUAUUUUUAUUCGCAUUCUUUUUAAUAUUUUCCUAAACCUCAACUUCAAAAUACUCUCCUGCAACCCGCCACACCCAAUGUGGUGUGGAUCUGUUUUUUUUUUCUAAAGUAUUUCUAUUUACCUCCGAACUGGAAUACCUCAACUGAAGCAGCUAGCUAGCUAGCUAACUAGCUAUCAGCUAUCAGUCAGCUAACCACUGCUAGCGGUCAUCAGCUAACCUUUAGCUCGGAAAGCUCUCGCCAGUUCGUACAACGCGUUUCAAACCAGAGCAUACCGGACCUAUUUUUCUCUCCAUAUCCCCGGAUUCCUACCGCAAACUCUGAACCUUUUCAUCUGGAUCAUGGCAGCUAGCUAACCGCAACCCGGGUUGACUACUCCUGGCUAACGUUUCCGUCCCGGAGCUAGCACCAACUAGCCUGGAGCUAGCCCAUGCUAGCCCCAUCUCCCGGCUAGGGCUCCUGGGCUACUCCUGAAGCCCACUCCUCGGCUACAGUAUCCAGACUCCUACUGCCGGUACAGGGCACGGAACCCCGCCGAUCCUUCACGACUGGAAUACUGACAUAAUCUGCCCGAGAAUCCCAACAGGCCCCUCAGGCGCGACGUCCCCUGAAGGCCCAUUCUGCUAACCGCGGCCUGCUAGCUAUCUAUAGCAUAUUGGACUGUUAGCUGAUCCAUCGGCCAGUUUCUUGGACCAGUAUACCCAUUUUGCCAAGUGGACUUGGACCCCUCUGCUACUUGGAACCCUACUAAUUCCACGACUGGUCUAUCGACGUCACUGCAAGGAGGAGGCAAAAACAGACUUUUCCCCACCGCGACGUCCCUCUAAGGCCCUUAUGCUAGCUUGCUAGCCUCGGUCUGCUAACUGCUAGCUUGCUAGCCUUGGCCUGCUAACUGUCUGAAUCGCCGUGUCCCCAGCCGGCCCAACCACUCACUGAACCCAUUCGAUCACUUGGCUACGCAUGCCUCUCCCUAAUAUCAAUAUGCCUUGUCCAUUACUGUCCUGGUUAGUGAUUACUGUCUCAUUUCACUGUAGAGCCUCUAGCCCUGCUCAAUAUGCCUUAACCAACCAUGUUGUUCCACCUCCCACAUAUGCGAUGACAUCACCUGGUUUAAACGUCUCUAGAGACUAUAUCUCCCUCAUCAUUACUCAAUGCCUAGGUUUACCUCCAAUGUUCUCUCUUCCUACCAUACCUUUGUCUGUACAUUAUGCUAUUGUGCCCAGAAACCUGCUCCCUUUACUCUCUGUUCCGAACGUGCUAGACGGCCAGUUCUUAUAGCCUUUAGCCAUACCCUACUUCUCCUCUGUUCCUCUGGUGAUGUAGAGGUUAAUCCAGGACCUGCAGUGCCUAGCUCCACUCCUACUCCCCAGGUGCUCUCAUUUGUUGACUUCUGUAACCGUAAAACCCUUGGUUUCAUGCAUGUUAACAUUAGAAGCCUACUCCCUAAGUUUGCUUUAUUCACUGCUUUAGCACAUUCUGCCAACCCGGAUGUCUUAGCAGUGUCUGAAUUCUGGCUUAGGAAAACCACCAAAAACCCUGAAAUUUCCAUCCCUAACUAUAACAUUUUCCGUCAAGAUAGAACUGCCAAAGGGGGCGGUGUUGCAAUCUACUGCAGAGAUAGCCUGCAGAGUUCUGUCUUACUAUCCAGGUCUGUACCAAAACAAUCGAAGUUCUACUACUAAAAAUUCACCUUUCCAGAAACAAGUCUCACACCGUUGCCGCUUGCUAUAGACAACCUUCUGCCCCCAGCUGUGCUCUGGACACCAUAUGUGAACUGAUUGCCCCCCAUCUAUCUUCUGAGCUCGUGCUGCUAGGUGACCUAAACUGGGACAUGCUUAACACCCCGGCCAUCCUACAAUCUAAGCUUGAUGCCCUCAAGCUCACAAAUUAUCAAUGAACCUACAAGGUACAACCCCAAAUCCGUAAACACGGGCACCCUCAUAGAUAUCAUCCUAACUAACUCGCCCUCCAAAUACACCUCUGACGUUUUCAACCAAGAUCUCAACGAUCACUGCAGCAUUGCCUGCAUCUGUAAUGGGUCUGCGGUCAAACGACCACCCCUCAUCACUGUCAAACGUUCCCUAAAACACUUCAGCGAACAGGCCUUUCUAAAUCAACCUGGCCGGGGUAUCCUGGAAUGACAUUGACCUCAUCCCGUCAGUAGAGGAUGCCUGGUUAUUCUUUAAAAGUGCCUUCCUCACCAUCUUAAAUAAGCAUGCUCCAUUCCAUUUUUUUUAACUAGGAAUAGAUAUAGCCCAUGGUUCACUCCAGACCUGUCUGCCCUUGACCAGCACAAAAACAUCCUGUGGCGUACUGCAUUAGCAUCAAAUAGCCCCCGUGAUAUGCAGCUUUUCAGGGAAGUUAGGAACCAAUAUACACAGGCAUUUAGGAAAGCUAAGGCUAGAUUUUUCAAACAGAAAUUUGCAUCCUGUAGUACAAACUCAAAAAAUAUUUGGACCAAUAUUUCCAUGACACUAGCUAACUUGAGUUGGCUAACUAGCGGCUAACAUUAAUAGAAGCUAGCUAGUAGCGUCACGCAUCUUCAGACGAAACCCAGAGGAAACUCUAGAAUUUCCGGUAUCUAGAGUUGCCAUCUGGUCUCUUCACUGUUCGCCUUUAACCAGGGAUCAAAAUCACCUUAGAAUCACAGUUACCUACUUUAACUUCAAAACUAGCCCAGUCUUCUCCCGCUAGCGCUUGCUAUUGGUGGAAACGUACUGAACUCUUGCUGUGCCCAAUCGAACUGGCAAGCUAGGACUGAUGAUUUGGUUAGCUAGACUAGGAAGUAUGGUUGCUUGGUAACCAUGGCAACUAAUGUAGCUAUGUAGUAUAAACUUUCUAGCUACUUCAGUGGAUGUUGAACAAAUUUCUACUGGCAAAUGAACACAUUUAUAGCCAUGUGGUGGGGGAGUGCCAAGCCAAGAUGGAGGAGCUGUGGCUUCAAAACAGAGCCCCCUGUCAGUCAAUGGUUGCGACCCCAUGUGGUCAUUGUUAAAAGUAUGUGUGUAAUCAUGGAAUGGUUUUGACUCUGUGCCAUCUUUUGAUUAUUUGUUUGUGGUGAAAGUAGGCCUACAUCCGUUUUUAUUUGAUAAUGCACUGAUUUAUUAAUUUGUUUUAAUGUUUGCUA